rnacentral:rRNA from 1 species
CCUACGGGGGGCAGCAGUGAGGAAUAUUGGUCAAUGGUCGAGAGACUGAACCAGCCAAGUCGCGUGAGGGAUGAAGGAUCUAUGGUUUGUAAACUUCUUUUAUCUGGGAAUAAAGUGAGGAACGUGUUCCUUUUUGUAUGUACCAUAUGAAUAAGCAUCGGCUAACUCCGUGCCAGCAGCCGCGGUAAUACGGAGGAUGCGAGCGUUAUCCGGAUUUAUUGGGUUUAAAGGGUGCGUAGGUGGUUAAUUAAGUCAGCGGUGAAAGUUUGUGGCUCAACCAUAAAAUUGCCGUUGAAACUGGUAGACUUGAGUAGAGGUGAGGUAUGCGGAAUGCGUGGUGUAGCGGUGAAAUGCAGAGAUAUCACGCAGAACUCCGAUUGCGAAGGCAGCUUACCAA